AGUCUGUGGUGAGGAUACAACCUCAUCAUAUCCUUGAAUCACUCACAUUCUUCAUAGAGAGAUUCCCUAUCAACUUGCUUAAAUUAAGUUAUUUGGAUCCUUAAUUAU